AUACGGAGGGUGCGAGCGUUAAUCGGAAUUACUGGGCGUAAAGCGCGCGUAGGCGGCUAAGUAAGUCAGAUGUGAAAUCCCCGGGCUCAACCUGGGAAUUGCAUUUGAUACUGGCAGGCUAGAGUUUGGUAGAGGGUAGUGGAAUUCCGGGUGUAGCGGUGAAAUGCGUAGAUAUCCGGAGGAACACCAGUGGCGAAGGCGGCUACCUGGACCAAAACUGACGCUGAGGUACGAAAGCGUGGGGAGCAAACAGGAUUAGAUACCCCGGUAGUCC
rnacentral:rRNA from 1 species